CCAGCCUGGGCGUGAGCCAGACCACCCUCCCUGCUGACAGGGCACAGCAGCUUUCACAAAGAGCUCCCUGUUGGCUCUGGCAUAGACCGCCACUGACAGAUAAAACCCGGAGAUUAACAUCUGUUAGAAACUAAGCAAAUAACUUAAAGGAUAAUAUUUCCAAGUGCUUCUCUAUCUAGAUCCGGACUUUCUUUUAUUUAAUUUCAAGAAAAGAAAGAAAAGAAAAAAGGAAAAAGACAAGACGCUAAAUGCUCGAGUUGCUGCCAUCUCACGCCGCUGAACUUGGACUACUGGAAUGAUGUGCUUUGCCAAGGCUGCUCAGCACAGUGAAACUCAAUGUACCUGCAUUUUCCCUUCGAAAAAUGGUAUUUAGACCAUCACAUGCUAAUCAGUUAGUUUAUAUCCAUUCUGGAAACCAGUUAAAUAGAAAUAAUCUCGAAAGAUUGAUAUUCAGAAGAUGACGUUGCCUUUACUCUGGAAAAUUCGAGCGCUUUGAGCAGCUAAACGAGCCCCUCUCCUACUGCUCCUUGUGCCCUCUGCACGGGUUUAUGUUCGGGUUGAGGAACCACCUUCUCCCACACGAGAUGCUGCAGAAAACAACUCAAAGAAGCGUUGGGACAGAGAAGCACAUGACAGCGAACCUCGGCGUUUCCCUCAUAUGCGUCCUUGGAAUCCUUGGGCCCGGCCAGCUCACCACACAGAUCACUGCCACGGGAAGAACUCUGUACUAUGUUCAUAAAAGUAUAUUUAACCAGUAGUGACUAUAUUUGGACAUUUUCCUAAAAGUUGUCUAGCC
rnacentral:lncRNA from 1 species